GGCUUAACACAUGCAAGUCGAGGGGCAGCAUUUCAGUUUGCUUGCAAACUGGAGAUGGCGACCGGCGCACGGGUGAGUAACACGUAUCCAACCUGCCGAUAACUCGGGGAUAGCCUUUCGAAAGAAAGAUUAAUACCCGAUGGUAUAAUUAGACCGCAUGGUCUUGUUAUUAAAGAAUUUCGGUUAUCGAUGGGGAUGCGUUCCAUUAGGCAGUUGGUGAGGUAACGGCUCACCAAACCUUCGAUGGAUAGGGGUUCUGAGAGGAAGGUCCCCCACAUUGGAACUGAGACACGGUCCAAACUCCUACGGGAGGCAGCAGUGAGGAAUAUUGGUCAAUGGGCGCAGGCCUGAACCAGCCAAGUAGCGUGAAGGAUGACGG
rnacentral:rRNA from 1 species